rnacentral:rRNA from 1 species
GACGAACGCUGGCGGCGUGCCUAAUACAUGCAAGUAGGACGCAGUUGCGAACGGGUGAGUAACGCGUAGGUAACUGCCCACUAGAGGGGGAUAACUAUGGGAAACGAUAGCUAAUACCGCAUACUAGUAGAUGGACCUGCGUUGUAGUAGCUAGUAGGUAGGGUAAUGGCCUACCUAGGCGACGAUACAUAGCCGACCAGCAUGGGUGACCGGCCAAGCUGGAAGUGAGCCACGGUCCAGACUCCUACCGUAGGCAGCAGUGGGGAAUAUUGCACAAUGAACGAAAGCCUGAUCCAGCCAUGCCGCGUGUGUGAAGAAGGUCUUCGGAUUGUAAGGCACUUAAUUGAGGGAAACGUUACCAACAGAAUAAGCACCGGCUAACUUCGUGCCAGCCGCCGCGGUAAUAC